GCAUAUCAAUAAGCGGAGGAAAAGAAACCAACAGGGAUUGCCUUCAGUAACGGCGAGUGAAGCGGCAACAGCUCAAAUUUGAAAUCUGGCCUUACGGUCCGAGUUGUAAUUUGUAGAGGAUGUUUUGGGUACCGCCGCGGUUUAAAUUUCUUGGAACAGAAUGUCAAAGAGGGUGAGAGUCCCGUCUUGGAUCGCGGUAGGGCCUGUGUAAAACUCCUUCGACGAGUCGACUUGUUUGGGAAUGCAGGUCAAAAUGGGUGGUAAAUUUCAUCUAAAGCUAAAUAUUGGCCAGAGACCGAUAGCGCACAAGUAGAGUGAUCGAAAGAUGAAAAGCACUUUGAAAAGAGAGUUAAACAGUAUGUGAAAUUGUUGAAAGGGAAGCGCUGGCAACCAGACUCGUGCGCGGGGUUCCCCCUUGCUUCUGCUUGGGUCACUUCCCCGUGUCCGGGCCAUCAUCAGUUUCGGGGGCCGGUUAAAGGCUCUGGGAAUGUAUCUACUCCUUCGGGGGUAGACUUAUAGCCCAGGGUGUCAUGCGGCCACUCGGGACUGAGGAACGCGCUUCGGCGAGGAUGAUGGCGUAAUGGUUGUCAGCGACCCGUCUUGAAACACGGACCAAGGAGUCUAACAUCUAUGCGAGUGUUCGGGUGUCAAACCCUUGCGCGGAAUGAAAGUGAACGGAGGUAGGAAGGCUUAAGCCUGCACUAUCGACCGAUCCUGAUGUCUUCGGAUGGAUUUGAGUAAGAGCAUAGCUGUUGGGACCCGAAAGAUGGUGAACUAUGCGUGAAUAGGGGUGAAGCCAGAGGAAAACUCUGGUGGAGGCUCGCAGCGGUUUCUGACGUGCAAAUCGAUUCGUCAAAUUUGCGUAUAGGGGCGAAAGACUAAUCGAACCAUCUGGUAGCUGGUUCUGCG
rnacentral:rRNA from 1 species